AGGCAUAAAUUUAGAAAGGAGCAGCCCAUAAGAACGGCAUCCGCUAAUAUUGCGAUUAUAUGUACAUAUAUUCCAUUCGAUUCGGAAUAAUUGUGACAGUUGGUUAAUGUUAGGCACCCAUCCAUACGGUUGACUCAGGGGGAAGCGGAACACGGCUGAGCCUUGGUUUUGUUUCAUAUUUUCAGAAUCUUUUAUUGAGUUGGAAGAAGUCUUGUCUGGCUGGUCCGUUCCGUAAUCAUGAUUCUCAUAAAGUGCAUCCUCCUUAUGGUCGUCUUUGCCGUCGUAAAUACUUUGAUUGCUUACAGGGAUGCCGGGCUUUGGUAUUGGAUCCCUCCUAAAACAAUCAUAAGGCACGAUGGAGGAUAUUAUAGAAAUAAAACAUACAGUUACAUUAUCCCUGGAUGGUGGGAAAGAAACAAAACCCAUUGCGCACUUGUGGAUGAGGACAAUAUUACUGUGGCCCUUGGGUAUAGUAAGAAGUCAAAAGAUUAUUGUGGCAUUUAUUCGUGCGUAUGGCAUAUAGGAAAAACACAUGGCCACCUUAUAUACUGCCAACAGCCAGCCACUUUCGCCGAGUGCGAGACGAAUGGUAUAAACACGGUACUGGAGUAUCCGGAAUGUUGUUGGAAAUGCGUAGAAUAUAAAGAUUGUUAGCUCUGAGGGGCUGAAUCCUAUCGAAAAUUAUCUGACAAAGAGAAAGAAAUUUAGUUGGCUAAAAUGCAGAUACAAAUAAAAACGAAAUAAUUGUUACGUUAGUAUGCCUUAUA